rnacentral:lncRNA from 1 species
AUGGAAAGCACUGUGGAAAGGGUUUACACUGCAUAAUCCCUUGCAGGACCAAAUUUUACUUCUUUUCAGACAACUGUCCAUCUCUGCCCAGUGAGUUAGCAGUGGUUCUUCUGGCUGCACGGAGGCUGGCAUGGUUUCCACUAAGGCAGCUUCUCUUUAAUGGAGAACACACCAUCACGCACAGGAAAAUAUCAGCUUCCUUCUGAAAAGGCCAUCUGUACCAGCAGCACUGCUUGGACCCAUCAGGGAUGCUGCAUAGUUUUCCCUGGGCAGCAAAUACACAGCCUUCCCCAUGAAAGAGGAAAAAAAAGAUUGCAGAUGUGGAUAGGAGGGAGACUGUUUAUCCCGCAGGCUUGCAGCAAGCAAGAUGCAGAGGCACCAUCAAAGCCUCUUGGACCUGGGCAGCCGAGUGCUACUACUGCCUGAAACCCUCCCAUGGCACCUGCGUGGGAGAUUUUGCAAAAGCCCUCAUUGCCUUUGGAGCAGAGGUACAGCUCUGAGUGGUGUUUGAGCUCUUAAAUUAUCCUGAAACCUCGAUGCUUUGUGCUGGUAUGGUCUUCAUGAAAUCUGUGAUUUAUUGUGGAGUUUUAUUCCUGCUCCCUCCAGGAGCUUGAAUGUGGUCGUUACAACUGUGCCUUCUCAUAGCAUCAUUUUCUGUCUUCUCUCCCUCCCACACUUAGCUUAAAGCUGCCUGACAUUCCUGCAGUCCUUUCCAGUCCCCUUUUUUUUCCUAUGUCCACCCCCAUUUUGCCAAUAUCUACCCAGAGCUGCAAACCCAAACCACAGGAGGGCUGAAGAUGCGGGAGCAGACUGUGGGAAAAGGGGAUCAAAAGCAGUGGAGCCAAAGUUUUAUCCUUCACUUGG